rnacentral:rRNA from 1 species
GAUGAACGCUGGCGGCGUGCCUAAUACAUGCAAGUCGAGCGAACGGACGAGAAGCUUGCUUUUCUGAUGUUAGCGGCGGACGGGUGAGUAACACGUGGAUAACCUACCUAUAAGACUGGGAUAACUUCGGGAAACCGGAGCUAAUACCGGAUAAUAUUUUGAACCGCAUGGUUCAAAAGUGAAAGACGGUCUUGCUGUCACUUAUAGAUGGAUCCGCGCUGCAUUAGCUAGUUGGUAAGGUAACGGCUUACCAAGGCAACGAUGCAUAGCCGACCUGAGAGGGUGAUCGGCCACACUGGAACUGAGACACGGUCCAGACUCCUACGGGAGGCAGCAGUAGGGAAUCUUCCGAAAGGGGCGAAAGCCUGACGGAGCAACGCCGCGUGAGUGAUGAAGGUCUUCGGAUCGUAAAACUCUGUUAUUAGGGAAGAACAUAUGUGUAAGUAACUGUGCACAUCUUGACGGUACCUAAUCAGAAAGCCACGGCUAACUACGUG